AGAGUUUGAUCCUGGCUCAGGAUGAACGCUAGCGGCAGGCUUAACACAUGCAAGUCGAACGGUAACGAGGAUCUGUUUACAGAUCUGUCGACGAGUGGCGGAUGGGUGAGUAUCGCGUAUGCAAUCUGCAUUGUGCUAAGGGAUAGCCAGGGGAAACUCUGAUUAAUACCUUAUAGUUUGCUUUAUCGGCAUCGAUUUAGCAAUAAAGAUUUAUCGGCACAAUAUGAGCAUGCGUCUUAUUAGUUUGUAGGUGAGGUAACGGCUCACCUAGACUACGAUAAGUAGGGGCCCUGAGAGGGGUGUCCCCCACACUGGUACUGAGACACGGACCAGACUCCUACGGGAGGCAGCAGUGAGGAAUAUUGGUCAAUGGACGCAAGUCUGAACCAGCCAUGCCGCGUGCAGGAUGACUGCCUUAUGGGUUGUAAACUGCUUUUAAUCAGGAAGAAAUGUUCCCACGAGUUGGGGAUUUGACGGUACUGUUUGAAUAAGGAUCGGCUAACUCCGUGCCAGCAGCCGCGGUAAUACGGAGGAUCCAAGCGUUAUCCGGAAUCAUUGGGUUUAAAGGGUCCGUAGGCGUAGGCGGGUAGAUUAGUCAGCGGUGAAAGUUUAUGGCUCAACCAUAAAAUUGCCGUUGAUACUGUUUAUCUUGAAUAAGUGUGAAGUGGUUAGAAUGAGUAGUGUAGCGGUGAAAUGCAUAGAUAUUACUCGGAAUACCAAUUGCGAAGGCAGAUCACUAACACUUUAUUGACGCUGAGGGGCGAAAGCGUGGGGAGCAAACAGGAUUAGAUACCCUGGUAGUCCACGCUGUAAACGAUGGAUACUAGUUGUUCGAGCUACAUUGGUAGUUUGAGUGACUAAGCGAAAGUGAUAAGUAUCCCACCUGGGGAGUACGUUCGCAAGAAUGAAACUCAAAGGAAUUGACGGGGGCCCGCACAA
rnacentral:rRNA from 1 species